UACGUAGGGGGCUAGCGUUGUCCGGAAUCAUUGGGCGUAAAGCGCGUGUAGGCGGUCCGGUAAGUCCGCUGUGAAAGUCGGGGGGCUCAACCCUCGAAUGCCGGUGGAUACUGUCGGGCUAGAGUGCGGAAGAGGCGAGUGGAAUUCCUGGUGUAGCGGUGAAAUGCGCAGAUAUCAGGAGGAACACCAAUUGCGAAGGCAGCUCGCUGGGACGUAACUGACGCUGGAGACGCGAAAGCGUGGGGAGCAAACAGG
rnacentral:rRNA from 1 species